rnacentral:rRNA from 1 species
UACGGAGGGUGCGAGCGUUGUCCGGCAUCAUUGGGCGUAAAGGGCGCGUAGGUGGCCCGGUCAGUUCGUGGUGAAAGCGCGGGGCUCAACCCUGCGUCGGCCAUGAAUACUGCCGCGGCUGGAGCACUGUAGAGGCAGGCGGAAUUCCGGGUGUAGCGGUGGAAUGCGUAGAGAUCCGGAAGAACACCGGUGGCGAAGGCGGCCUGCUGGGCAGUUGCUGACACUGAGGCGCGACAGCGUGGGGAGCAAACAGG